CCCUUAGAUGUUCUGGGCCGCACGCGCGCUACAAUGGCAGACUCAGCGAGUUACCUCUGUCGAAAGGCACAGGGAAUCUUUACAGUAUCUGCCGUGAUGGGGAUAGACCCUUGUAAUUUUUGGUCUUCAACGAGGAAUUCCUAGUAAACGCAAGUCAUUAACUUGCAUUGAUUACGUCCCUGCCCUUUGUACACACCGCCCGUCGCACCUACCGAUUGAAUGGUCCGGUGAAGUCCUCGGACCCAGUUGAACCUCGAGUUGAACAGGGAAAGUUGACUAAAUCUUACCAUUUAGAGGAAGGUGAAGUCGUAACA
rnacentral:rRNA from 1 species